rnacentral:rRNA from 1 species
AGGGAAUCUUCCGCAAUGGACGAAAGUCUGACGGAGCAACGCCGCGUGAGUGAUGAAGGUUUUCGGAUCGUAAAGCUCUGUUGCCAGGGAAGAACGUCCGUUAGAGUAACUGCUAACGGAGUGACGGUACCUGAGAAGAAAGCCCCGGCUAACUACGUGCCAGCAGCCGCGGUAAUACGUAGGGGGCGAGCGUUGUCCGGAAUUAUUGGGCGUAAAGCGCGCGCAGGCGGCUGGUCUAGGUCUGGUGGUUAAUCCUGGGGCUCAACCCCGGGUCGCACUGGAAACUGGACAGCUUGAGUGCAGAAGAGGAGAGUGGAAUUCCACGUGUAGCGGUGAAAUGCGUAGAGAUGUGGAGGAACACCAGUGGCGAAGGCGACUCUCUGGGCUGUAACUGACGCUGAGGCGCGAAAGCGUGGGGAGCAAAC